GUGUCAGCCGCCGCGGUAAUACGAAGGGGGCUAGCGUUGCUCGGAAUUACUGGGCGUAAAGGGCGCGUAGGCGGCUCUGUGAGUCAGGCGUGAAAUUCCUGGGCUUAACCUGGGGACUGCGCUUGAUACUGCGGGGCUUGAGGCCGAGAGAGGGUGGUGGAAUUCCCAGUGUAGAGGUGAAAUUCGUAGAUAUUGGGAAGAACACCGGUGGCGAAGGCGACCACCUGGCUCGGUACUGACGCUGAGGCGCGACAGCGUGGGGAGCAAACAGGAUUAGAAACCCGCGUAGUCC
rnacentral:rRNA from 1 species